UAUGUGAUCGUCUCUCGCAUAUCAAUAAGCGGAGGAAAAGAAACUAACAAGGAUUCCCCUAGUAACGGCGAGUGAAGCGGGAAGAGCUCAAAUUUGAAAUCUUAAAGGGUUUCCCUUUACGAAUUGUAGUUUAAAGAAGUGUUUUCUGUUGAGGUUUUGGUAAAAGUUCUUUGGAAUAGGACAUCAUAGAGGGUGAGAAUCCCGUAUUUGACCUUUACUUUCAACUUUGUGAUACACUUUCAAAGAGUCGGAUUGUUUGGGAAUGCAGUCCAAAAUGGGUGGUAAAUUUCAUCUAAAGCUAAAUAUUGGCGAGAGACCGAUUAGUGAACAAGUACCGUGAGGGAAGAUGAAAAGAACUUUGAAAAGAGAGUUAAACAGUACGUGAAAUUGUCAAAAGGGAAGCGUUUGACACCAGUGUUGUUUUUCUGAAAAUCAAUUAAAGAACUGUUUAUGCUAAGUUGUUUAGACUUUAUCAGCUAACUGUUUAGUUUUGAGCUUUUCUUUAAUGCACUUUUCAGUUAACAAGUCAACAUCAAUUUCUUUUGCUGUAAAAAAGCUUGAGGAAGGUGGCUUGAGAUUCGUCUUAAGUGUUCAUAGCCUCUUGCCUAUGCAGUCGGAGAGAUUGAGGUCUGCAGCGUAGAUCCUUCGGGGCUAAAUGCAUUUGUGCUAAGUUAUAGCACUUUAUAGACAACUUGUUGACUAUGAUUUGUCUUGUAGCUUACUCGCUUAUGUUAUUUUACCUACGCUUAGGAUGUUGACACACGCGCGUGCUCG
rnacentral:rRNA from 1 species